rnacentral:rRNA from 1 species
CGGGAGGCAGCAGUGGGGAAUAUUGCACAAUGGGCGCAAGCCUGAUGCAGCCAUGCCGCGUGUAUGAAGAAGGCCUUCGGGUUGUAAAGUACUUUCAGCAGUGAGGAAGGCGGGUACGUUAAUAGCGUGCUCGUUUGACGUUAGCUGCAGAAGAAGCACCGGCUAACUCCGUGCCAGCAGCCGCGGUAAUACGGAGGGUGCGAGCGUUAAUCGGAAUUACUGGGCGUAAAGCGCAUGCAGGUGGUUUGUUAAGUCAGAUGUGAAAAGCCCGGGGCUCAACCUCGGAAUUGCAUUUGAAACUGGCAGACUAGAGUACUGUAGAGGGGGUAGAAUUUCAGGUGUAGCGGUGAAAUGCGUAGAGAUCUGAAGGAAUACCGGUGGCGAAGGCGGCCCCCUGGACAGAUACUGACACUCAGAUGCGAAAGCGUGGGGAGCAAACAGGAUUAGAUACCCUGGUAG